rnacentral:misc_RNA from 1 species
GAUGAAGAACGCAGCGAAAUGCGAUAAGUAAUGCGAAUUGCAGAAUUUCCGUGAGUCAUCGAAUCUUUGAACGCACAUUGCGCCCAUUGGUAUUCCGAUGGGCAUGCCUGUUCGAGCGUCAUUAUCUUCCCUCAAACCUCGCGUUUGGUGUUGGGCCGUGCUGGUUCCUGCGUGACCAACUGGCCUCAAAGACAAUGACGGCGUCCGUGGGACCCUCGAUGCAACGAGCUUCUCAGGAGCACGCGUCGAGUUUCAAGGACCUUCCGGGCCGGUCUCCCCUCAUGUUAUUACAAGGUUGACCUCGGAUCAGGUAGGGAUACCCGCUGAACUUAAGCAUAUCAAUAAGCGGAGGA